rnacentral:rRNA from 1 species
GAUGAACGCUGGCGGCGUGCCUAAUACAUGCAAGUCGAGCGAACAGACGAGGAGCUUGCUCCUCUGACGUUAGCGGCGGACGGGUGAGUAACACGUGGAUAACCUACCUAUAAGACUGGGAUAACUUCGGGAAACCGGAGCUAAUACCGGAUAAUAUAUUGAACCGCAUGGUUCAAUAGUGAAAGACGGUUUUGCUGUCACUUAUAGAUGGAUCCGCGCCGCAUUAGCUAGUUGGUAAGGUAACGGCUUACCAAGGCAACGAUGCGUAGCCGACCUGAGAGGGUGAUCGGCCACACUGGAACUGAGACACGGUCCAGACUCCUACGGGAGGCAGCAGUAGGGAAUCUGCCGCAAUGGGCGAAAGCCUGACGGAGCAACGCCGCGUGAGUGAUGAAGGUCUUCGGAUCGUAAAACUCUGUUAUUAGGGAAGAACAAAUGUGUAAGUAACUAUGCACGUCUUGACGGUACCUAUCAGAAAGCCACGGCUAACUACGUG